AUGCACUUUGAUGGUUCCAAGAUGCGCACCGGUUUGGGAGCCGACAUCAUCCUCACCUCUCCCAAAGGCGACAAGCUAAGAUACGUGCUGCAAAUCCACUUUGCCGCCUCCAACAACGUUGCCGAGUACGAAGCACUCAUUCACGGGCUCCGGCUUGCCAAGGAACUCGACAUUCGCCGGAUCCUGUGCUAUGGUGAUUCCGACUUGGUGGUCCAGCAGUCGUCAGGCGACUGGGACGCCAAGGAUGCAAACAUGGCGAGCUACCGCUUCCUCGUACAACAGCUCAAUGGAUACUUCGAGGGGUGCGAGUUCCUUCAUGUGCCAAGAAAUGACAAUGAGCAAGCUGAUGCCUUGGCAUGGAUCGGCUCUACCCGGGAAGCAAUACUAGCCGGCGUCGCCUUGCAACGCCUCCUCAAGCCGUCUGUCAAGCCGUCACCAGAAUCAGACUCCAUCUUCGUGCCGGCUCCUCCUGAAGCAGUCGGAUCCGACUUGAGGACCCCAGCAGCCGGCGCGGGAACUUCGGCAGGCGGCUCGGGGACUGCAGUAGUCGCACCCGGCCCGGGGACUUCAGAACCCGGCCCGGGGACCGUAGCAGUCGGCCCGGGGACUUCAUCGACUCAGCAGGCGACUCAGCAGGCGGCCACCGACUCCAACCCGCCGCCUCCCCGCCCAACCGCCCUCGUGCAAUUAGCAGUCCUAGCAGUCGAAGAAAUUGCAGCACCUUCAUGGGCUCAGCCCAUCCUCAACUUUCUGGUGAACAAAGAGCUGCCGACUGAUGAGAUCUCGGCCCGGCAAGUGCAGCGCCGGGCAGCAGCAUACACCAUUGUCAACAGAGAGCUUGUGAGGCGCAGCAUCACUGGUGUGUACCAGCGCUGCGUGGAGCCGGAGCAAGGCCAAGCAAUCCUCAAAGAUAUCCAUCAAGGCGAGUGUGGUCACCACGCGGCCACAAGAGCACUUGUUGCCAAAGCUUUUCGCCACGGUUUUUUAUGGCCGACUGCUCUAGAAGACGCCAAAGACUUGGUCCAGAAAUGCAAAGGGUGUCAGAAGUUCCGCUCGAAGCCACAUCAGCCGGCUUCUGCACUCAAGACUAACCCCAUUGCCUGGCCCUUUGCCGUCUGGGGCCUGGACAUGGUGGGACCAUUCAAGACAGCACGCGGCGGCAUGACUCAUCUGCUUGUCGCGGUGGACAAGUUCACCAAGUGGAUAGAAUCAAAGCCAAUUAAAAAGUUGAAUGGUCCGACUGCUGUGACUUUCAUCUCCGACAUCACCAUCCGGUAUGGCAUACCGCACAACAUCAUCACCGACAACAGCACAAACUUUGCCAAAGGCGCCUUGGCCCGUUUCUGCGCGACGCAGGGCAUCCGACUGGACUUAGCGUCCGUUGCCCAUCCGCAGUCAAACGGCCAAGUGGAGCAAGCAAACGGCCUCAUUUUGUCCGGCAUCAAGCCCCGACUAGUCGAACCCCUGGAGCGUUCGGCCGGCUGCUGGCUAGAUGAGCUGUCGGCCGUCCUAUGGAGUCUGCGCACAACUCCGAACAAGUCAACCGGCUUCACGCCUUUCUUCCUCGUCUACGGUGCUGAAGCCGUCAUCCUGACGGACAUAGAAUUCGACUCCCCUUGA
rnacentral:rRNA from 1 species